rnacentral:rRNA from 1 species
UACGUAGGUGGCAAGCGUUGUCCGGAAUUAUUGGGCGUAAAGCGCGCGCAGGUGGUUUCUUAAGUCUGAUGUGAAAGCCCACGGCUCAACCGUGGAGGGUCAUUGGAAACUGGGGAACUUGAGUGCAGGAGAGAAGAGUGGAAUUCCACGUGUAGCGGUGAAAUGCGUAGAGAUGUGGAGGAACACCAGUGGCGAAGGCGACUCUUUGGCCUGUAACUGACGCUCAUGCACGAAAGCGUGGGGAGCAAACAGG